GCCCAGGUGGUGGAAUUGGUAGACACACUAUCUUGAGGGGGUAGCGGCGCAAGCUGUGCGGGUUCGAGUCCCGCCCUGGGCACCA
rnacentral:tRNA from 3 species